rfam:Haemophilus haemoglobinophilus strain CCTG 3714 3714T_ctg_0000001, whole genome shotgun sequence.
UCCUUGAUAUGCUGUUUGAGUAUCCUGAAACGGGCUUUUCAAGAUCAGUAUAUCAAAUUUAAUCAAUAAAAUAGGAGUGCAUAGUGGCCCGUAUUGCAGGCAUUAACAUUCCUGAU